UUCUUUUUCCCCGGAGCUUGCUCCACCGGAAAAAGAGGAGUGGCGAACGGGUGAGUAACACGUGGGUAACCUGCCCAUCAGAAGGGGAUAACACUUGGAAACAGGUGCUAAUACCGUAUAACAAUCAAAACCGCAUGGUUUUGAUUUGAAAGGCGCUUUCGGGUGUCGCUGAUGGAUGGACCCGCGGUGCAUUAGCUAGUUGGUGAGGUAACGGCUCACCAAGGCCACGAUGCAUAGCCGACCUGAGAGGGUGAUCGGCCACAUUGGGACUGAGACACGGCCCAAACUCCUACGGGAGGCAGCAGUAGGGAAUCUUCGGCAAUGGACGAAAGUCUGACCGAGCAACGCCGCGUGAGUGAAGAAGGUUUUCGGAUCGUAAAACUCUGUUGUUAGAGAAGAACAAGGAUGAGAGUAACUGUUCAUCCCUUGACGGUAUCUAACCAGAAAGCCACGGCUAACUAC
rnacentral:rRNA from 1 species